GAUGAACGCUGGCGGCGUGCUUAACACAUGCAAGUCGAACGGAAAGGCCGAAGCUUGCUUCGGUACUCGAGUGGCGAACGGGUGAGUAACACGUGGGUGAUCUGCCCUGUACUUCGGGAUAAGCUUGGGAAACUGGGUCUAAUACCGGAUAUGACGAUCUCUUGGAUGGGGUUGUGGAAAGCUUUUGCGGUAUGGGAUGAGCUCGCGGCCUAUCAGCUUGUUGGUGGGGUAAUGGCCUACCAAGGCGUCGACGGGUAGCCGGCCUGAGAGGGUGUACGGCCACAUUGGGACUGAGAUACGGCCCAGACUCCGACGGGAGGCAGUAGUGGGGAAUAUUGCACAAUGGGCGCAAGCCUGAUGCAGCGACGCCGCGUGGGGGAUGACGGCCUUCGGGUUGUAAACUCCUUUCGCAAUCGACGAAGCCUUUUGGUGACGGUAGGUUGAGAAGAAGCACCGGCUAACUACGUG
rnacentral:rRNA from 1 species